rnacentral:rRNA from 1 species
UACAGAGGGUGCAAGCGUUGUUCGGAAUUAUUGGGCGUAAAGGGCGCGUAGGCGGUGCGGUAAGUCUGUAGUGAAAUCUCUGGGCUCAACUCAGAGUCUGCUGCAGAAACUGCCGUGCUUGAGUGUGGGAGAGGUGAGUGGAAUUCCCAGUGUAGAGGUGAAAUUCGUAGAUAUUGGGAAGAACACCGGUGGCGAAGGCGGCUCACUGGCUCGUAACUGACGCUCAGGCGCGACAGCGUGGGGAUCAAACAGG